rnacentral:rRNA from 1 species
GAUGAACGCUGGCGGCGUGCCUAAUACAUGCAAGUCGAGCGAACGGACGAGAAGCUUGCUUCUCUGAUGUUAGCGGCGGACGGGUGAGUCACACGUGGAUAACCUACCUAUAAGACUGGGAUAACUUCGGGAAACCGGAGCUAAUACCGGAUAAUAUUUUGAACCGCAUGGUUCAAAAGUGAAAGACGGUCUUGCUGUCACUUAUAGAUGGAUCCGCGCUGCAUUAGCUAGUUGGUAAGGUAACGGCUUACCAAGGCAACGAUGCAUAGCCGACCUGAGAGGGUGAUCGGCCACACUGGAACUGAGACACGGUCCAGACUCCUACGGGAGGCAGCAGUAGGGAAUCUUCCGCAAUGGGCGAAAGCCUGACGGAGCAACGCCGCGUGAGUGAUGAAGGUCUUCGGAUCGUAAAACUCUGUUAUUAGGGAAGAACAGAUGUGUAAGUAACUGUGCACAUCUUGACGGUACCUAAUCAGAAAGCCACGGCUAACUACGUG